rnacentral:tRNA from 1 species
CAGGGAGACAACACAAUGAUUUUGAUGCCUGAGUACUUUUAUUCUUAGGCCGAAAUCCUGUCACCUUAGGUCGAUCGGUACCUCAGCGUUGAAGCAACAGAGUUAACAGAAAUGUUGACUCGUGUUGUGGAGAUGAUCAGUUCCUAAACUUUGUCUAGGUCACACCCCACAAGGGUUGAGUUUUCCUGGGCCAUUAGCUCAGGUGGUUAGAGCGCACCCCUGAUAAGGGUGAGGUCCCUGGUUCAAGUCCAGGAUGGCCCAUUCGGUGUUGGGGGUUUAGCUCAGUUGGUAGAGCGCCUGCUUUGCAAGCAGGAUGUCAGGAGUUCGAGUCUCCUAACCUCCACUGACCGAACUCAAUCUCCGGUUUUGCAUUGAAAGAUGGAGAAUCACUCGAUUGCGAAGUGUGAUUUAGAUGUGUCCGCUGGAUGACCCCAGCUUCCUGUCAUUCCAAAUCGAAGGUAAGAAUUUUACUGAAACGAAUUUGGUUGAUAAGAUGCUGGGCUCGAGUUCAGUGAUCAAGAGAUUGGUCAUUGGAUUUGAAGUCUGGCAGAACCUUGACAACUGCAUAGGUAAGUCUGGAAAAACAAAGCAUCUUACAUAUGCAUUGUUUUGAAUCUGAUCUUCUGAAAGGGUGAUUGGAUCUAGAACAAUGAAAUUCUUUUGAGCAAGAGCCGAGACUCUUGAGCGUUCUUUGAUUCGUGUCGAGCGAAUCAGAGUUUGAUCUUGUUUUAGGAAUCAGCGAAAGUUGAUGAUUAAAACUUGAGAAUCUGCUUUCAACGGUGGUAAGCGUUCAGGAGAUUAAUU